rnacentral:rRNA from 1 species
GAUGAACGCUGGCGGCGUGCCUAAUACAUGCAAGUCGAGCGAACAGAUGAGGAGCUUGCUCCUCUGACGUUAGCGGCGGACGGGUGAGUAACACGUGGAUAACCUACCUAUAAGACUGGGAUAACUUCGGGAAACCGGAGCUAAUACCGGAUAAUAUAUUGAACCGCAUGGUUCAAUAGUGAAAGACGGUUUUGCUGUCACUUAUAGAUGGAUCCGCGCCGCAUUAGCUAGUUGUUAAGGUAACGGCUUACCAAGGCAAGGAUGCGUAGCCGACCUGAGAGGGUGAUAGGCCACCCGGGAACUGAGACACGGUCCAGACUCCUACGGGAGGCAGCAGUAGGGAAUCUUCCGCAAUGGGCGAAAGCCUGACGGAGCAACGCCGCGUGAGUGAUGAAGGUCUUCGGAUCGUAAAACUCUGUUAUUAGGGAAGAACAAAUGUGUAAGUAACUAUGCACGUCUUGACGGUACCUAAUCAGAAAGCCACGGCUAACUACGUG